CUUACUUCUUUCUCUUUUCCUCAGCCUUUUUCACUGGACCUGGCCUUUUAGGUGCCUCUGCCAGCUUUAAUAGUAUAUUUGUACUAGAAAUGCAUCACCUUCUAUGCAGCACAUGGCUUCGCAUGGCUUCUAUGCAGCAGAGUGCAGACUGGGUUUCUGACGCCACUGGCCGCCUCCACGAGGAGUCUUUGGGCACUGCGCAAAGUAUUCAGAGAGAAUCUUCAUCCCAAGUGCGACUGGUGGGAGGUGCACAUCGCUGUGAAGGGCGAGUGGAAGUGCAACGGAAUGGCGAAUGGGGCACCGUAUGUGAUGACGGCUGGGACAUGAACGACGUGGCUGUGGUGUGUCGGGAACUG